CGCGUAAAUUACCCAAUCCAGACAAUGGGAGGUGGUGACCAGAAGUACUGAGUGGUAGAUAAUUGUCUACUAAUCUCGGAAUGAGCAUAAAGUAAAAAGUUAGUCGAGUAACGACUGGAGGGCAAGUCUGGUGCCAGCAGCCGCGGUAAUUCCAGCUCCAGUAGCAUGUCGUAAAGUUGUUGCGUUUAAAACGCUCGUAGUUGGAUCAUACGGUAUUGGUCAGUUAGCCUACAAUGCUGACAAUCAAUCCUGCGACAGUAGCGAUUUCUAGUUAGUUCUGGAGAUCCUAUUGUUGUAGGAGUCAGUUAUUGUAGGUUACUUGCUGGCCGAUACUACUUGCACGUAAGAAUGGUGAUUGGCCUUUAGUGCGUCGGUCAUUGUGUCUUACGGAGUGUGCCUUGAAUAAAACAGAGUGCUUAAAGCAGGCGUGUGCCUGAAUGUUACAGCAUGGAACGAACAAACGUGUUACGUGUGUAGUCGGUGGCUUUGGUUGCCAGCUACACACAUCACCAGCCACCUGUACGGAUGUUGGUUUCCGUAAAGGGGUGAUGAUUAAAACGAGCGGUUGGGGGCAUUGGUAUUUGGCCGCGAGAGGUGAAAUUCUUAGACCGGCCAAGGACUAACAAAAGCGAAGGCAUUUGCCAAGACCGUCUCGAUUGAUCAAGAACGAUAGUGGGAGGUUCGAAGACGAUCAGAUACCGUCCUAGUUCCCACAGUAAACUAUGCCGACCCGGGAUCAGUUUUGAGCUAAUUACAACGCUCCAGGUUGGUCCCCCUGGGAAACCUUAAGUGUUUGGGUUACGGGGGGAGUAUGGUCGCAAGGCUGAAACUUAAAGGAAUUGACGGAAGGGCACCACCAGGGGUGGAGCCUGCGGCUUAAUUUGACUCAACACGGGAAAACUCACCGGUUCCGGACGUUAAUAGGAUAGACAGACUGAUAGAUCUUUCUUGAUAUGAUGUGUGG
rnacentral:rRNA from 1 species